rnacentral:rRNA from 1 species
UUCCAGCUCCAAUAGCGUAUAUUAAAGUUGUUGCAGUUAAAAAGCUCGUAGUUGGAUUUCUGAGGGGGUGCCAAUGUCCGCAUGUUGCGUGUGCAGCGGGGCCCCCUCAUCCUUCUGUUAACGUUUCUGAUAUUCAUUUAUUGGUCUCGGGCUCAGAUAUUUUACCUUGAGAAAAUUAGAGUGUUCUAGGCAGGCUUGCGCCGGAAUACAUUAGCAUGGAAUAAUAGAAUAGGACUUUAGUCUCCUUUGUUGGUUUGAGGGAUUGAAGUAAUGAUUAAUAGGGAUAGUUGGGGGCAUUAGUAUUUAAUUGUCAGAGGUGAAAUUCUCGGAUUUGUUAAAGACUAACUUAUGCGAAAGCAUUUGCCAAGGAUGUUUUCAUUAAUCAAGAACGAAAGUUAGGGGAUCAAAGACGAUCAGAUACCGUCCUAGUCUUAACCAUAAACUAUGCCGACUAGGGAUCGGAGGCGCGCCUUAUCCGCCUUCGGCACCUUAUGAGAAAUCAAAGUCUUUGGGUUCUGGGGGGGGUAUGGUCGCAAGGCUGAAACUUAAAGGAAUUGACGGAAGGGCACCACCAGGAGUGGAGCUUGCGGCUCAAUUUGACUCAACACGGGAAAACUUACCAGGUCCAGACAUAGUGAGGAUUGGCAGAUUGAUAGCUCUUUCUUGAUUCUAUGGGUGGUGGUGCAUGGCCGUUCUUAGUUGGUGGAGUGAUUUGUCUGGUUAAUUCCGUUAACGAACGAGACCUUAGCCUACUAACUAGUCGCCUCGUUGCUAAGCGGGCGCGACUUCUUAGAGGGACUUUGUGACUAAACACAAGGAAGUUUGAGGCAAUAACAGGUCUGUGAUGCCCUUAGAUGUCCUGGGCCGCACGCGUGCUACACUGAUGCAUACAGCGAGUACUCCCCAGCUCCGUGAGGCUGCUGGUAAUCAGCAAUAUGCAUCGUGAUGGGGAUAGAUCUUUGGAAUUAUAGAUCUUGAACGAGGAAUUCCUAGUAAGCGCAAGUCAUUACCUUGCGCUGAUUAAGUCCCUGCCCUU